rnacentral:rRNA from 1 species
GAUGAACGCUGGCGGCGUGCCUAAUACAUGCAAGUAGAACGCUGAAGGAGGAGCUUGCUCUUCUGGAUGAGUUGCGAACGGGUGAGUAACGCGUAGGUAACCUGCCUUGUAGCGGGGGAUAACUAUUGGAAACGAUAGCUAAUACCGCAUGACAACAGUUAUUGCAUGAUAACUGUUUAAAAGUGGCACCUGCUCCACUACCAGAUGGACCUGCGUUGUAUUAGCUAGUUGGUGAGGUAACGGCUCACCAAGGCGACGAUACAUAGCCGACCUGAGAGGGGGAGCGGCCACACUGGGACUGAGACACGGCCCAGACUCAUACGGGAGGAAGCAGUAGGGAAUCUUCGGCAAUGGACGGAAGGCUGACCGAGAAACGCCGCGUGAGGGAAGAAGGUUGUCGGAUCGUAAAGCUCGGUUGUAAGAGAAGAACGAGUGUGAGAGUGGAAAGUUCACACUGUGACGGUAGCUGACCAGAAAGGGACGGCUAACUACGUG